UUCUUUAUUUUCGAUAUGGACCCCUUAUCCAAUAUAUCAUUUGCAAAUAUCUUCUCCCACUUGGUAGGUUGCCUUUUGUUUUGUUGAUGGUUUCCUUUGCUGUGCAAAGGCUUUUUAUUUUGAUGAAGUCCCAAUAGUUUAUUCUCACUUUUGUUUCCUUUCCCAAAGGAGGCAUAUAGAAAAAUGUUUCUAUGGCUGACGUUAAAGAGUUACUGCUUGUAUUUUCUCUAGGAAUUUUAUGAUUUCAGAUCCCACAUUUAGGUCUUCAAUCCAUUUUGAGUUUAUUUUUGGAUAUGCUGUAAGCAGGUAGCCCAGUGUCAUUCUUUUGCAUGCAGCUGUCCAGUUUUCCAGCACCAUUUGUUGAAAAGAUUUUUUUCCCAUUGUAUACUCUUGCCUCCUUUGUUGUAGAUUAAUUGACCAUGUAAUCCUGGGUUUAUUUCUAAGCUGUCUAUUCUGUUACAUUGAUCUAUGUGUCUAUUUUUGUAUAUCACAUCUUCUUAUUCAUUCAUCUACCGAUGAAUAGCUGGGUUGCUUCCACAUCUUGGCUAUUGUAAAUAAUGCUGCAAUAAACAGAGGAGUACAUAUGUCUCUUUGCAUUAGCAUUUUUGUUUUCUUCAGGUAAAUACUCAGAAGUGGGAUUACUGGAUUGUAUGGUAUUCCUACUCUUAAUUUUUUGAGGAAACUUCAUACUGUUUUCCAUAGUGGAUGAACCAAUUUACAUUUCUUUUUUUUAAUGUUUAUUUAUUUAUUUUGAGAGAGGGAUUGUGAAUGAGUAGGAGAAGGGCAGAGAGAGAGAAAGAGAGAGAGGGAGAAUGAGAAUCUCAAGAAGGCUCCGCCCUAUCAGCACAGAGCCCAGUGCAGGGCUCGAUCUCACGAACCUUGAGAUAUCACGACCUGAGCUGAGAUCAAGAGUUGGACACUUCACCAACUGAGCCACCCAGGCGCCCCCACAACUUACAUUUCUACUGAUAGUGCGUGAGGGUCAUUAUUCCAUUGUUAUGGAUGAAGAAACUGAGAUAGAGAGAGGGCAAAUAAUUUUCCUAUAGUCACUCAUGGUUAAUAUAUUUUGAAACAUCACUAGAUAUUAAUAUGCUAUUUUUAAUUUAAAUUCCAGUUAUUCAAAGUUACAAAAAGUUAUACAUGAAAUACCUGGUGAAUAAAUUUUAAAUGAUCAAAUUUGUUAUAUAGAGAGAUACAACAAAAAGGAAUGUGUGCCAGGACUGAUUUUUAUUUGUUUGUUUUCUAUUUUUCUUUUGCAAACUAAAGAAGCCCUGAGGACAAAACUCUGGUCACUGCAGAGUAAAAGGGCAUUAACAUAGCAAGUAAAAGACUUGAAGGUCAAUGCUAAGAAGAAAUUGGAGUCGGAGAGAGUAAGGAGAUGGAUACUGAAAUGAAAGAGGUAGAGUCCCUGCUCUUGAAGCACCCAUGAUCUGGUGGAGGAGAUUGGCACAGAGACCAUUGACUCCAGCAUGUGAAAAGCACUAUAACGAAGGUGCGUAUGAGGUACCACGAAAGGACUAAGGAAGGCUCCCUGCCUUGCCUUGGGGAAAAUAGGCAAAGUGGCAUUUAAGCUGGACCUUGAGGGAUAGGUGGGAUCCUCCACGGAGAGAAGGGGGAAAGAGUAUGGCAGGUAAAGGGAACUGCAGGCACAAAAGGCAAUGGAAAAUGAAACCUGAAGGCAUAUCGGGUUUGGAGAAAAGCAAUAGUUUGAAAUGAGAAAAGGGUGGUGCAGCAGGAGGUGAGAGUGGAAGCAGCUUUGAGAGGCUUUGCCAGGAGCUGAGGUGCCACAGGAGGUGGGUGAGCAGAGUAACAGGGUCAGGGCUAUGGCAACCAUUCUGGUUUAACUCACCUCGACAAGUUAAUGAGGAGAGCCUGAGACUUUUGCCACAGUUUCAAAAACCCCUGAGCUCAAGCUGGUUCUGCCUAGCUCUGUUUAUCGUUGAUUUGUUUUUGCUUGGGCUGUUGGUUCUAGAAGGGGCAGGAAGCGGCCCUAGCAAAAUACUAGCUAUUUUCCUGUGAAAUAGAAAGAACACCACAUAGGCUCGCUUGUCCAUUGUUAUUGCUACCCACAUGAGAGGUACUCUGUUGGGAUGCCUUUAGCUGCAACUGAGAGAAAAAUCGAGUUGCAUAAGGAAUUUAUCAGCUCAUGAUGUUAGAAAGUCCAGAGGCGGCUAGUUUCAGGUGAGGCUCGAUCUAGCAGCAAAAACAAUGCCUUUCUCUUCUUCCCUGCUCUCUUCUUAAGAAAGCUGACUCCCUUUGGGGUCCCAGGAUGACUUAACACAGCUCCCAGGGCUACCUGCUUUCUCAUUCACACUCAGCAGGAAAGAGAGCAUCUUUCUCUUUGUCUGAGAGUCACCCUGAUUACAACAGCUUUGGUCACAUGCACCCUUUAAAUCAAUCAUAGUGGCAGUGGAUAAAAUGCAGUGAUUACCUUAGCUUUCAGGGGUCUACUGCUUGACCUCUGAAGUCAGGAAAAGAGUUGUCUUCCCUAGGGCCACACAGACUUCCAAACGUAAAUAAAACAGGACUACUGGAAAAGUGAAAAGGGGUCAAUGAUCAGCCAUCUUCGGCAGUCAGGUAUUAGAGGUUCAGAGGACUCGCUCAGUUAAAGCCUUGGUUUUCACAUAACCUCCUUCAUCGUUGUUAGUGCCCCCCCCCAAACUUCAUACUCCCGGCAACCUCUAUUUAAUCCAGUGAUUCCUAACACCCUCAGAGAUUCUGAGUUCAUUGGCCGAGACAUCAGUAUUGUGUUUUCAGCUCACCAGAUGAUUCUAGUGGACAGCCAGAGCUGAGAACCACUGCUGUUAUCUUUUAUUAAGGCCACUUCUCCAGUCUCAGGUUCGGUUUUAUGUACAGCUGAAGUGGGGUGAAUAUAAACAAAUAAGAAGAAUAUAGGCAAACAUAAUAAAAAUUAGUAAUAACUAACACUAAUUCAGAUUUACAUGUUCCUUGCACAUUGCAAGGUGUUUUACAUGCAUUAUCUCAUUGUAUCCACUCAACCAUCUUAUUGAGAUAGAGAAUAAUAUCUCUUUUUCACAGGUGAGAAAACUGAGACCCAGAGAACUUAGCUUAGUUGUCCAAGGUCCUGCAUCUAGGAUGUGGUUAAAAUAGGACUUGAACCCAGGUAGAUCCGACUCCACAGUUCCAUGCACUUAACCUGUUAUACAUUGUUUGGAGCCAUGAGUAUGAGAGAUCUCAUUUAUGGUUCAUUUCCCAACCGUUUUUAGGCCCUGAUACAUUUUUUUGUCAGGCCCUGCCAGGUGACAUUUGGGUGGGUUUUAUUUUUAAGCCACCUUUUAGUGUCUCUUAUGCCACCUACCACGUUUUAUAUACCUUGUAUUACACACACACAGAUUACACCCAGUGUAUAUCUGUAGGUAUAAAAUGGGGUGUGACCUAAAUAUGUGUUCACAAAUUACACACUGUGCAUUUGGUGUUUAUAUCUGUACACACACCUAUAUUUCAUACACAUAUAAAAGUCGAUAUUGUGUAAGGGAGAGAACAGGACUAGCACUGUGACUUUAGGCAAAUCAACCUAAAUUUUUUAAUUCCUUUUUCUCAUCUCUAAAAUGGGAAAAUGAUGCUUGCUUUUCUUUUCUUAAUUUUUUUAAUGUUUAUUUAUUUUUGAGAGAGAGAGUGAGAGAGAGAGAGAGAAAGACACAACGUGAGGGGGGAAGGGUCAGAGAGAGAGGGAGACACAGAAUCUGAAGCAGGCUCCAGGCUCUGAGCUGUCAGCACAGAGCCCGUCAUCGAACUCACAAACCGUGAGAUCAUGACCUGAGCCGAAGUCGGACACUUAACUGACGGAGCCACCCAGGUGCCCCAAUGCUUGCUUUUUCUAACUGCAUGAUUAUCUGAGGAUCAAAUGGGAUCCCAAAUGCAGCAAGGAGUCUUGGGCGUACAUAUUUUGCUGGCUAAUGAGCUGUAAAUACAUAUGAUGGGUUGGCAUCAUCUUUUACAGAGUAAUACAGAGUUUCUGUGUCUCCCAGUGAUGAGCCGUGAGGUCCCCCUCCCCUUGCUUUCUCAUCUACUGACAAACCUUUGGAUUCUGUAUAAUAUGCAUGGAUCAGAGGUCGUGAAUUUAAUAGAAAGCAGAGGAAAGGACAGAGGAAAGGGAAACAGUGGGAGAGGCAUUUUUAUGAGUUUUACAAUUUACAUAGUGCCAUGUUGUUUUACUAUAAAGGAAGUCACCGUUGGCUCAGAUGGAAGGAAAUGGGCCUUUUUAUACACAUUUGAGAUGUAAAUUGCACUAACAUUUUGGAGACCUACUCCUUACAUUGGAGAUCAGUCUAGCAAUCCCAUUUUUUUUAAAUGUUUAUUUAUUUUGGAGAGAGAGGGAGAGCGAGUGGGGGAGGGGCAGAGAGAGGGAGACAGAAUCCGAAGCAGGCUCCAGGCUCUGAGCUGUCAGCACAGAGUGCGACUCAGGGCUCAGACUCACAGACUGCCAGAUCAUGACCUGAGCUGAAGUCAGACGUUUAGCCAACUGAGCCACCCAGGCUCCCCAUAGCGAUCCCAUUUUGUGAUAAAUACAAAAUUUAAAAAUGUAAGCUCAUAUUUAUACUAAGAUUUAGCAGAAAAAGAUAGAAAAGAUAGAUAACGAAUAGCAGUGGUUAUCCCUGGCGGGUGGCAGUGUCUGGGAGGCGAAGUUUCGCUUUUUACUUUAUAUUCUUCUGGGUGAUUUGAACUUUUGCCUACAGGCAUUUUUUGCAAAAAAAGAGAGAGAGAGAGAGAGAGAGAGAGAGAGAGAAAUGCAGAGGAUAGCUAGAUGUGCACACAUCAGCGGUGCUCCUGUGUUCUUAAUCCUUGGCUCCUCUCUGCAGGCAGGCCCAGCGGUCCCGGGAGGGUGCUGACCCUUGCCUGGCAGGCCCUCCUCGUGCUGGCCCUCCUCGUGCUGUGCUGCUUCGCAGUCCAUUACCAGCUGCUUAAGCAGCAGGUUCCUGGUGGCUGGUCAGCUGGAACUGCUUCCUGAUGACAAACAGGAAGGACACAGCAGCCUGUGAAGCAGCUUCCCUCAUUGGCCUCAUUGACAGAAAAAAAAAUUUUUUUAAAUCUUACAACAUUGAGGAGAACUUCAUGCUAUUAAUAACUCCUCAAGCCUCUUCCUGGAGAGGGGAACGAGCCAGCUUUAGGUUGCCCUGGAGGAACCUUUGCACUUGCCUGCAUUAACAAGCCUUUACAAGCCUCCAGUCUCAGGUCCUGAUGACUUGUCCUCCACACUUGCUUACGGCUUUGGCUACGUAAUCUCAUGGCGAUCCUGACCCCCUCCGUGAAACUGGAGCCUCUUCUACAGCAAAAUAAACCUCCCCACCAUUCGGGCAGCUUGCCUUCUCUUAUGCAGGAUGCUGGAAAGAGCUCAGGGAAAAGAGAGAUUAAGGAAGGCAAGGAAAUAAGGUGAGAGUUCCUGGUAGAUGAUAGCAAAUCCCUGCUCUGACACUUCCUGGCUGUGUGGCCAUAGGGAAAUUACUUCACCUCUCUGAACCUAAACUUCCUCAUCUGUAAGACAGGGAAAAUAAACUUGGUGCCUUAUAGGGUUGGAGGUGCUGCGACUUAUAAAGGGCUUCGUACUGUCCGUUUGGAAAGAGGAAGGGUCAGUCAGUGUGACCUGUAUGGGUCUCAUUAGCACUCACAUCCCACAAUGGCAGUGGUUCAGAAUUUGGGCUCUGUUAUUUAUUACACGUGUGACUUUGAGCAAACCUCAUUGGGCUUCCGUUUUCUCCCAGGCAAAAUGGAUAUAAGGAUUCCCAUCUCAUAUGGAAUCUUGUAAAGAUGAGCUGGCAUCAUGCACACAAAACAGUAAGGUGCCUGGACACAGGCAUUCAGGAAAUGGGGGCGUUUACAGUUUGCUGAUGAAAAAUUGGCAUGUUUCCUGUAAAACAUAGGAGUUUUGCAAAACCAGUUCUAAACCCCUGGCUGCCCAGUCCCCAAAGGCUCAGAGAAUGAACAGGUUCUGAUCCCAUAUCUACUCCUGAAAUCCUGUCCUGUAAGGUGUUCCGUCUUCAUCUCCUUUCUCGCUCUUCCAGCUUCUCCUUGUCUCCCUGCCUAGGCCUCUCAUUAGUCCAAUUAAUAAACUGUUGCUGUCACUUCAGUUCAGCCCCAGGACCCGCGUCCCUUGUGGAUGCGCCAUUAUGCUGGGGAAGUGAAUUGUGGGGCACCCUCAUUUCCAGAGGGGAGUGGAACAAGGACCUGGGGUUGGCAGGAGAUGGACCUCCCUGGGCCCCAGUCUCGUAGAACAUCAACAGGAUAAUCAGUGAGAACUUCAUUAUCCAGAAUGAGAGUCUGGCUGUUUGGCACAUCACCAGGGUCCCAUUUAUGGGCUGGAAGGUUCUGGCCUGAGGCCUCUGGCUUUCCACGCACUGGCCUUCAGCUCCCCCUUGAACAUGUACACACACACACACACACACACACACACACACACACACACAAUGCAGGCACGCACACAAUUUCCUUGGGCUUUUAGUAAGCUAAAGAGUUUGUGGGUACAUUCCAGUCCUGGAAGGCUGGUGAGCCGAGUGAAGCUGAUGCUGGAGGGCCCAGAAACGCACGACUGCUCCUGCUGAUUGCUGAGAAUAACCAAGCCCUGAGGUUCCCAAGAGCCCAUUAAACCAUCACAAGUGUCUCAUCCCUAGUGAGAGCAGUCCCCCACCUCCCCGGCCUUGGAAAGAUAAAGGACCAGACCUGGGGAGUGGCCCAGCUAGCUGAAAACAAGAAGAUGGGACUAUUGGGUUAGCUCAGAAGCUCCAGCAGCCCGGGGACAGGUUGGUUUGCUAGGUACACAAUGGAGUCAGCAUUCACAGCCUCCUCCCUGACAUCCUAUGGUGUGAAACUGGAGUUUAUGCUGAGGACAGGGGAGGGUAGGGGGCAUGGUUUGAUGGGAAGUUAUUUCCCCAGCCAGUUAUAUCAUUCAUACCUGUUCAGGCAUACAUUUAGGGGAAACGGGAUUCCUAUCAAAGUCAUUGUGCUGACACCUGGCUCUCACCUGCUGCCCUAUCAGCACUUCUAUUUGCCACCCAGAAUUAUGAGCUUCUAUGCUGGCCUUAGCCCAAGCUGAAUGUGGAGAGGGAUACGUUUUCUUUCACUUCUUUGUCUAAUUCCCCACAACCACAAAAACACACGUGCUGUGUAUAAUAGACUUCACGGUAGGUCUCCGAGUGUGGUUCUCAAAAUAUAGUCUAUGGGCCAGCUGCAUCAUCAUCACCUGGGAACUUGUUAGAAAUACAGAUUCUUCAGCAUUACCCCAGGCCUACAGAAUUAGAAAUUCUGGGAGCCAGCCCAACAAUUUGUUUAUUAACAAGCCCUUCAAGCGAUUCUGAUACCUGCUGAAAUUUAAGGACCAUUACUGUAUGUUUGAAGAUACCUUUAAAAAAAUCACAGUAUAGGGAAGGAGACUAAAUUCAAGCAGAAUUGUAAAUAGGACUGUUUACAAGCCCAUAGGAAUAUAAAAAGGGGCUUUCAUGGAGUUUUGCUUCCCUCUCUGGAGGCCCACAUGAAGAGGUUGAUUUCUUCCCCUAUAAAAACAAUCCUAAGCAUGUGCUCACCCACAUACCACACACACACACAUGCACACACGUGCAUGCACACGCACACACAUGAGAACCCAUUCCCCACCUUUUCUCUACAGAGGCCACAACAUUCUUGAAUUUGGUGUUUACCAUUUACAUGCAUGCUUUUAUUACAUAUUUACUACAUAUAAUUUUUUGCAUAUUUUAAACUUUGUGUAUUUUGGACAUACCAGACAUAUCUGCUGGCAGUUUGCUUUUUUCAUUCGUCAUUAAGUUUUGAGAUUUAUUUUAGGUGCUACUACAUCUAUUUUUUUGUUGGUGGACUUUUAGAUUGAUCCAAUUUCCUUUUUUUCCCCAAAUUUUUAUUUGAAUUCUAGUUAGUUAAGGGGUGCCUGGGUGGCUCAGUCAACUGAGCAUCCGCCUUCAGCUCAGGUCAUGAUUUCACGGUUUGUGAGAACUGAGCCCCGCAUUGGGCUCGCUGCUAUUGGUGUGGAGCCUGCUUCAGAUCAUCUGUCCCCCUCUCUCUUUCCCCCUCCCCACUCUCUCUCUCUCUCUC